GUUAUGUUUAUAGUUAUUACAUUCCGGACUGUUCGUUGUUAAAUGUAAAGCGGAAGCGACGCCGUGAAGCGCCGCGACCGAAGAGGUGCACAGGGGUGAAGUUGUUCAACGGCGUGCAGCCGAAGCGCACAGCCGAUGAGGUAGGGCCGAAACCCGAAUCUUUAAUGAUCCUUCCGCAGGUUCACCUACGGAAA
rnacentral:misc_RNA from 1 species